rnacentral:rRNA from 1 species
GAUGAACGCUGGCGGCGUGCCUAAUACAUGCAAGUCGAGCGAACGGACGAGAAGCUUGCUUCUCUGAUGUUAGCGGCGGACGGGUGAGUAACACGUGGAUAACCUACCUAUAAGACUGGGAUAACUUCGUGAAACCGGAGCUAAUACCGGAUGAUAUUUUGAACCGCAUGGUUCAAAAGUGAAAGACGGUCUUGCUGUCACUUAUAGAUGGAUCCGCGCUGCAUUAGCUAGUUGGUAAGGUAACGGCUUACCAAGGCAACGAUGCAUAGCCGACCUGAGAGGGUGAUCGGCCACACUGGAACUGAGACACGGUCCAGACUCCUACGGGAGGCAGCAGUAGGGAAUCUUCCGCAAAGGGCGAAAGCCUGACGGAGCAACGCCGCGUGAGUGAUGAAGGUCUUCGGAUCGUAAAACUCUGUUAUUAGGGAAGAACAUAUGUGUAAGUAACUGUGCACAUCUUGACGGUACCUAAUCAGAAAGCCACGGCUAACUACGUG